UUGAUAGAUGGAACUAUUCGUGUCGUCGAACAACCAUUUCCACUUAAAAAUGGUUACAUAGGUAUCAAUUCUUUUGGUUUUGGGGGGUCUAACGCUCAUGUGCUAUUAAAAUGGAAUCCAAAACAGAAAGUUAAUAAUAGUGCGCCAUAUGAUGAUUUGCCAAGACUUGUAAUAUUAUCUGGACGCACUAAAGAAUCAGUAAAAUUGUUUUUAAAUGACAUUGCUAAUCAUCAAAUAGAUGUAGAAUAUAUCCGUUUACUACACGAUAUUCACUCAGACAAUAUAGAUGGUCAUCCGUGGAGAGGGUAUAUUAUACUGAAUACUUCACAACAAGAAUU